rnacentral:rRNA from 1 species
GAUGAACGCUAGCUACAGGCUUAACACAUGCAAGUCGAGGGGAAACGACAUCGAAAGCUUGCUUUUGAUGGGCGUCGACCGGCGCACGGGUGAGUAACGCGUAUCCAACCUGCCCAUCACUUGGGAAUAACCUUGCGAAAGUAAGACUAAUACCCAAUGAUAUCCCACGAAGGCAUCGGAAUGGGAUUAAAGAUUUAUCGGUGAUGGAUGGGGAUGCGUCUGAUUAGCUUGUUGGCGGGGUAACGGCCCACCAAGGCAACGAUCAGUAGGGGUUCUGAGAGGAAGGUCCCUCACAGUGGAACUGGGACACGGUCCAAACUGCUACGGGAGGCAGCAGUGAGGAAUAUUGGACAAUGGGCGAGAGCCUGAAACAGCCAAGUAGCGUGCAGGAAGACGGCCCUAUGGGUUGUAAACUGCUUUUAGAAGGGAAUAAAGUGGGUCACGUGUGACUUUUUGCAGGUACCUUAUGAAUAAGGACCGGCUAAGUACGUG